rnacentral:tRNA from 3 species
GCGGGAUUAGCAUAGUGGUAAUGCUCUAGCCUUCCAAGCUAGCUAGAGGGGUUCGAUUCCCCUAUCCCGCUCCA